UACGUAGGGAGCGAGCGUUGUCCGGAUUCAUUGGGCGUAAAGAGCUCGUAGGCGGCUUGAUAAGUCGGAUGUGAAACCUCCAGGCUCAACCUGGAGUCGCCAUCCGAUACUGUCAUGGCUAGAGUCCGGUAGGGGCCCACGGAAUUCCUGGUGUAGCGGUGAAAUGCGCAGAUAUCAGGAGGAACACCCGGUGGGCGAAGGCGGUGGGCUGGGCCGGCACUGACGCUGGAGGAGCGGAAAGCGUGGGGAGCGAACAGG
rnacentral:rRNA from 1 species